AGCAACAAUACAGAGAAGUUUAGCAUGGCCCCUGAGCAAAGGUGACACACAGAUUCAUGAAGCAUUCCAUAUUUUA
rnacentral:snRNA from 1 species